rnacentral:rRNA from 1 species
UACGUAGGAGGCAAGCGUUGUCCGGAAUUACUGGGCGUAAAGCGCGUGUAGGUGGUGGGACAAGUCUGCUGUGAAAGCGCCUGGCUUAACCGGGCGAGGUCGGCGGAAACUGUCCGACUCGAGGACGGUAGAGGGGGGUGGAAUUCCCGGUGUAGUGGUGAAAUGCGUAGAGAUCGGGAGGAACACCGGUGGCGAAGGCGGAUCUCUGGGCCAUAACUGACGCUGAGGAGCGAAAGCAUGGGGAGCGAACAGG